rfam:Ictidomys tridecemlineatus contig051298, whole genome shotgun sequence.
GGGGUUGUGGCUCAGUGGUAGAGUGCUUGCCUGGCAAGUGUGGGGCACUGGGUUCAAUUCUCAGCACCACUU